GGUCACUGCUAUUGGGAUUCGAUUAAGCCAUGCGAGUCGAGAGGGUUCGGCCCUCGGCUGACGGCUCAGUAACACGUAGAUAAUCUGCCCUUAGGUGGAGGAUACCCUCGGGAAACUGAGAAUAAUACUCCAUAGGUCUAGGAUGCUGGAAUGCACUUAGACUGAAAAUUCCGGUGCCUAAGGAUGAGUCUGCGGACUAUCAGGUUGUAGUCAGGGUAAAGACCUGACUAGCCUAUGACGGAUACGGGUUGUGAGAGCAAUAACCCGGAGAUGAUAUCUGAGACACGAUAUCAGGCCCUACGGGGCGCAGCAGGCGCGAAAACUUCACAAUGUGCGAAAGCACGAUGAGGGAAUCCCAAGUGCUUGCACGUAAGUGCAAGCUGUUUCUAUGUCUAAAACACAUAGAGAGUAAGGGCUGGGUAAGACGGGUGCCAGCCGCCGCGGUAAUACCUGCAGCUCAAGUGGUGGCCGCUAUUAUUGGGCCUAAAACGUCCGUAGCCGGUUUAAUAAAUGCCUGGGUAAAUUGUAUAGCUUAACUAUACGAAUUCCGGGUAGACUGAUAAACUUGAGACCGGGGGAAGUUAGAGGUACUCCUGGGGUAGAGGUGAAAUUCUGUAAUCCUAGGGGGACCACCGGUGGCGAAGGCGUCUGACUAAAACGGGUCUGACGGUGAGGGACGAAGCCCUGGGGCGCAAACGGGAUUAGAUACCCCGGUAGUCCAGGGUGUAAACGCUGCUUGCUUGAUGUUAGUCGGGCUUCGAGCCCGAUUAGUGUCGGAGAGAAGUUGCUAAGCAAGCUGCCUGGGAAGUACGGCCGCAAGACUGAAACUUAAAGGAAUUGGCGGGGGAGCACAGCAACGGGUGGAGCGUGCGGUUUAAUUGGAUUCAACGCCCGGGAAUC
rnacentral:rRNA from 1 species